rnacentral:pre_miRNA from 1 species
UGGGUUUAUCCUCAGUCAAACCUUUUCAAGUUUGACAAAGUUUAAAGAAAAAUAUAGCAACAUUUCCAACACAAAAUAAAUAUGCUAUAAAAAUAUAUCUAAUGGUGGAUUUCAUGAAACUAAUUUGGCCUUGCAGAUACUGGUAUAUUUUUCUAUAAAUUUGAUCAAACUUGAAGACGUUUGACUUAUGACAAACCAAA